UACGGAAGGCAGCAGUGGGGAAUAUUGCACAAUGGGCGCAAGCCUGAUGCAGCCAUGCCGCGUGUAUGAAGAAGGCCUUCGGGUUGUAAAGUACUUUCAGCGGGGAGGAAGGCGAUGUGGUUAAUAACCGCAUCGAUUGACGUUACCCGCAGAAGAAGCACCGGCUAACUCCGUGCCAGCAGCCGCGGUAAUACGGAGGGUGCAAGCGUUAAUCGGAAUUACUGGGCGUAAAGCGCACGCAGGCGGUCUGUCAAGUCGGAUGUGAAAUCCCCGGGCUUAACCUGGGAACUGCAUUCGAAACUGGCAGGCUAGAGUCUUGUAGAGGGGGUAGAAUUCCAGGUGUAGCGGUGAAAUGCGUAGAGAUCUGGAGGAAUACCGGUGGCGAAGGCGGCCCCUGGACAAAGCUGACGCUCAGGGUGCGAAAGCGUGGGGAGCAAACG
rnacentral:rRNA from 1 species